CGUUUUUCGCGUUGGUUUAUAUUUGUUUUUUCCUUUUCCCGAAAAGUUGAAAUGAUAAUCGAAGCUUUCCGGGAAGACUGGGGCCGACCCGGAUUGGAUCCUUCCUACCAAUAAAUUUCCGCCCAUAAGCUGACGGAUUUCUUCGUGUUUGGUGUGUUUUUAGACCUCCUUUGAGCGAGAGACUUUGAUCUCUCCCUAUUUCUGAUUGCAAUUUCUCUGCCACUUCCAUGGAUUCCAAGCCUCCUCAGCCUGCAGCUUCUAAUCCUCCACCAAAACCUUGGGAACAAGUAGGGGGAUCGUCGGGCCCAGCACCGUUUAAACCCCCAUCAGCUGGCAAUACAAGUGAGGUAGUUGAGGCUUCUGGGACUGCAAGACCUGGAGAAAUCGUAUCUAAUUCUGAUAGGACUGCCACUGUUAAUAGGAACUCACUUGGUAGGCCUGUUCCAACGAGACCUUGGGAGCAAAACUAUGGGAAUACCACUUAUGGAGGAGCCUAUGGUUCAACAAUGAAUAAUUCACUUUAUGGUUCUGGUAUGUAUGGUUCUUCGUCUUAUGGCGGUGGGAUGUAUGGGAACAGCAUGUAUAGAGGAGGUUAUGGUGGAGGUUAUGGAUCUUCUGGUAUGUAUGGAGGUGGAAUGUAUAAUAGUGGCUUUGGAGGUCCAAUGGGUGGUUAUGGAAUGGGGAUGGGUGGUCCUUAUGGUGGUCAAGAUCCAAAUAACCCAUAUGGCCCUCCCUCAUCUCCUCCAGGAUUUUGGAUGUCAUUUCUGCGAGUGAUGCAUGGUGUUGUGAACUGCUUCGGUCGAAUAUCUGUUCUUAUUGACCAAAACACACAGGCGUUCCAUAUGUUCAUGUCUGCUCUACUUCAGCUUUUCGAUCGCUCGGGUAUGUUAUACGGAGAGCUUGCUAGAUUUGUCUUGAGGCUGCUUGGGAUUAAAACCAAACCUAGGAAAGUUGGACAAGUAGGCCCUGAUGGGCUUCCUCUUCCUGGAGUGCCCCAUCCUCAUCAAGGCCGGAACUUGCUCGAGGGUCCAAAGGCAGCUCCUGAAGGUUCAUGGGAUAAUGUUUGGCCAAACGGUGGUCAUUAAAUGAACAGUGUUUCUUAAUAUAAUUAGUCAAUAUCUUCAACAAGUCGCCAUCUCUACAGCUUGUCGUCGUCAAUUACUUCAUUAUAGGUUAUAAUUUUUUGUUCUGGAAGAUCAUAAUGAAAUGGUAAAUCUGUUAUCUGACUUGAAAUAACAGUUUACUGGUUCGUUGGGUUGUCGGGUUUAGUAUUGUUUUGUUUUUAAA